rnacentral:rRNA from 1 species
UACGAAGGGGGCGGGCGUUGUUCGGAUUUACUGGGCGUAAAGGGCGCGUAGGCGGCGGGUCAAGUCGAGUGUGAAAGCCCCGGGCUCAACCUGGGAGGUGCGCUCGAGACUGGUCUGCUAGAGUUCGGGAGAGGAGCGUGGAAUUCCCAGUGUAGAGGUGAAAUUCGUAGAUAUUGGGAAGAACACCGGUGGCGAAGGCGGCGCUCUGGACCGAGACUGACGCUGAGGCGCGAAAGCGUGGGGAGCAAACAGG